UAUGUGAUCGUCUCUCGCAUAUCAAUAAGCGGAGGAAAAGAAACUAACUAGGAUUCCCCUAGUAACGGCGAGUGAAGCGGGAAGAGCUCAAAUUUGAAAUCUUAAAGGGUUUCCCUUUACGAAUUGUAGUUUAAAGAAGUGUUUUCUGUUGAGGUUUUGGUAAAAGUUCUUUGGAAUAGGACAUCAUAGAGGGUGAGAAUCCCGUAUUUGACCUUUACUUUCAACUUUGUGAUACACUUUCAAAGAGUCGGAUUGUUUGGGAAUGCAGUCCAAAAUGGGUGGUAAAUUUCAUCUAAAGCUAAAUAUUGGCGAGAGACCGAUAGCGAACAAGUACCGUGAGGGAAAGAUGAAAAGAACUUUGAAAAGAGAGUUAAACAGUACGUGAAAUUGUCAAAAGGGAAGCGUUUGACACCAGUGUUGUUUUUCUGAAAAUCAAUUAAAGAACUGUUUAUGCUAAGCUGUUUAGACUUUAUCAGCUAUCUGUUUAGUUUUGAGCUUUUCUUUAAUGCACUUUUCAGUUAACAAGUCAACAUCAAUUUCUUUUGCUGUAAAAAAGCUUGAGGAAGGUGGCUUGAGAUUCGUCUUAAGUGUUUAUAGCCUCUUGCCUAUGCAGUCGGAGAGAUUGAGGUCUGCAGCGUAGAUCCUUCGGGGCUAAAUGCAUUUGUGCUAAGUUAUAGCAUUUUAUAGACAACUUGUUGACUAUGAUUUGUCUUGUAGCUUACUCGCUUAUGUUAUUUUACCUACGCUUAGGAUGUUGAUCUGUAGUGCGUGCGC
rnacentral:rRNA from 1 species